GCACCUUGUGCAGUACCUCAGUAAGGUGGUGUGGAAAUCUGCAUGUUAUCCUUAGAUUGAUGUAAAAUUGAUUCUUUUUACUUCCAAUCGGUGAAAGUAGAACGAAGUCAUUGUUAUUUCGUUUCCUAAGUCGGGGCUGAGUGACACUUCCAAUAAAGACUCUAAGUGCACACUUCUAGCUUUGCGAUAUUUCAACGGAAGACAAUACUUGCUCCAUGCAUUCUAUUCUGUGUAUUUAGAACUACAUUUGGAGCAUGAAAUGAAAGAUAUCAUUAAGAGUGUCGCUGUCACAGGACGAAAAAGGAUGGACUCUCAAUGCAGAAAACGAUUCGAAGGAUGCUUUCUGAUCAAACAUUUGAACGGGCCGAAAUGGACAGGAAAGUACUUUGGAUUGAUAAAAGUUUUUAUCACUGGAGAUACAGUAUAAGGAGUCAAGUAAUAUCGACAUAACACCGGGAGAGACCCAACGUAAAGUUGCUUUUGGAAAACAAACUCAUGAGGUUAAGACGAGUCAGAGAUAUUACGUCAAAACGUUGUGUGGGCAUACCAUCUUCGCAACAUUUCUUUGUUGACCACAAUUUCUAUUUCCUGCCUCCCUUUCCAAUUCAACAGACACGACAUUUAAUCCUACGACUUUUCACAAACCUACACAUAAGAGUAGGGUAUGACCCAAUCUUACUUUGUUCAAGCAAAGUUGUGAAUAAAUUUUGGAUUGAACGAAUGAUUGCAAUUUACCUAAACCAGAUAGACUGA